rnacentral:rRNA from 1 species
AUACGUAGGUGACAAGCGUUAUCCGGAUUUAUUGGGUUUAAAGGGUGCGUAGGCGGACGAUUAAGCGUGAGGUGAAAUGCCACUGCUCAACAGUGGAACUGCCUCGCGAACUGGUUGUCUUGAAUGCUCCUGCCGUGGGAGGAAUGUGUGGUGUAGCGGUGAAAUGCAUAGAGAUCACACAGAACACCGAUUGCGAAGGCAUCUCACGAAGGGGUGAUUGACGCUGAGGCACGAAAGCGUGGGGAUCAAACAGGAUUAGAUACCCUGGUAGUCCACGCAGUAAACGAUGAUAACUAACCGCUGGGUCGUAGUGAUUCAGUGGCCAAGCGAAAGCGAUAAGUUAUCCACCUGGGGAGUACGACCGCAAGGUUGAAACUCAAAGGAAUUGACGGGG